UGGGGAAUUUUGGACAAUGGGCGAAAGCCUGAUCCAGCAAUGCCGCGUGUGUGAAGAAGGCCUUCGGGUUGUAAAGCACUUUUGUCCGGAAAGAAAUCCUUGGCUCUAAUACAGUCGGGGGAUGACGGUACCGGAAGAAUAAGCACCGGCUAACUACGUGCCAGCAGCCGCGGUAAUACGUAGGGUGCAAGCGUUAAUCGGAAUUACUGGGCGUAAAGCGUGCGCAGGCGGUUUUGUAAGACGGAUGUGAAAUCCCCGGGCUUAACCUGGGAACUGCAUUCGUGACUGCAAGGCUAGAGUAUGGCAGAGGGGGGUAGAAUUCCACGUGUAGCAGUGAAAUGCGUAGAGAUGUGGAGGAAUACCGAUGGCGAAGGCAGCCCCCUGGGCCAAUACUGACGCUCAUGCACGAAAGCGUGGGGAGCAAACAGGAUUAGAUACCCUGGUAGUCCACGCCCUAAACGAUGUCAACUAGUUGUUGGGGAUUCAUUUCCUUAGUAACGUAGUUAACGCGUGAAGUUGACCGCCUGGGGAGUACGGUCGCAAGAUU
rnacentral:rRNA from 1 species